AAAUUGGUGGGGUUGUUUCGUAUGGCUGGAACGGCGGACGGGCGUUCCUGUCCUGGAAAGCUGAGCCACGGAUCAGAUAAGGAAGGACGUCAUUGGAAAGCUGAGCGGCGGCGGCGAUACUUCCGGCCACCCGGGGACAAGGAUAAUGGAGGAUGUGGGUAUGGAGUUUCUUCUCGUCGCCGUCGACAGAAACGAACCGUAGCGACCCCGAAGACUUAAAUGCUGGGUCUGGCUGCGGUCAUCGGCUCGGGGAAGAGUCUGCCGGCGUCGGAAAUCAUCACGGACUAGGUCGGCGCAGUCCACAUACAAAGUCAACCCCCAGGCCCCAGGAUGGACGAAAAGGUGCGAACCUCAAUCCCAUCCGACUGUAUUUAGAUCCGACAUAUGCAGCAAUAAUUGUUUGCAUACUGAGAAUAUGAUGUGCAUUGUUAAGUGAUUUGACUUUUUGAUCCUUGCUGGCAAAACAAAAGAAAUUUCAGUGCUAGUACUUUUGUUGUUCUAGUUUGCUGACGGCCGAAGAAAUUGAAUCAGCUGAGGUAGUGGAUGUGGCCGAAGAAAUUGAACCACCAUGGUCUCCGUGGGCGGGUUUGACUGAACCUGUUGAUUGUUGGGAGCCGGAGCUAUCUAGCCUGCUUGGUUGCCCUGGUGCACAUGGUGCCGGCCGACUUGCUGCUGAGCAUGGGCUAUCUGCUGAGGGCUCAUCCUCCUCAGGUAUGAGCGCUGAAAGUCGAAGAAGUGACACAGCCGAGCCUGCGGAAAAAUGCAGACCUAUAGACCGAAACUCAAUAUCAUGCCUGAAGCCUGCAAGAUGCAAGAACUGUGGUGUUCAAGGUCGCCUCCGCAACAGCUGCACCAGGCCUCGCCUCUGGGUGUUAUUGCAUCUUUGACUUGAAUUGCAUUUUCAGUAUGGUUCAGUUUGAGAAUUUUCUAGUGCGCCUUGCCUGCUUGUUAAUCUAGGUUGUACAAUGGCUUUGUGUUCAUCAGUUGCUGGAGUUGCCCCCCUGUCAAUAAAAAAAUGUAUGAGCGUCCAAGCUGGAGUUGUCCACGCAUCAGUUCGGUUUACCUGACGAUGAACACACGUGUGCAUCAGUUGUACAAUGGCUUUGUGUUCAUCAGUUGUACAAUGGAUUCAAAAUUCAAAAGUGCAGUGGUGGGCGGCGUAGUGGCGUGGCAUUGCAUAAGAUGACUGCUGGAUGCUGGGAUCAUGUUCGUGCUCUCGUGAGUGGUACUCUUCAAGCAGGGAUGGGGCCGGCGUGGAGCGUAUGGGCUGACUCGAGUGUUGAGGCGUCGGCGUCGGUGUCCAAAUGCAGUUCGCCCUCUCGAGCCUGCAUCUGCUCCUGAUCAGGCUAUUAAGAACUCAGCUGCGGGCUCGGACAGGACCGGCGCGCGAUGUCAGCGUCAGAUUCCGGGAACUGCAAUAUGCAUGAUCGCGAUGAAGGGGAUGGACAUGACGAUGGAGGAAGGAUUCAGGGAGCAUGACCCCGAUGCAGUCCGCGGGAGAGGAUAGUGGAUGUGUUGGAUGACCGCGGUGGAACAGGUCGGCCCAGAAAAGCAUCCGAUCCAUCGGGCCAGUUAUGUACCGCAUCGUCCGUCGGGUUCGGCCGGCAGUUAAUGAGCCAACCGCUCCUUUUCCAAUAUAAUGCAUAUACGCGUGCGACGUACGAAGAGAAAUACCAUCGAGGCUCACAUCCCAAAACGAACGAGCGUGUGUGAUUUCAGGAGCAUCUGUGCUCGGGAUCAGAAACGAAUUUUCGAAAUCAUA